rnacentral:rRNA from 1 species
GGUUUGAUUAUAGCUCAGAUUGAACGCUGGCCGCGGGAUGCUUUACAUGCUGUGAGUCGAACGGCAGCACGGACUUCGGUCUGGUGGCGAGUGGCGAACGGGUGAGUAAUGUAUCGGAACGUGCCUAUUGGCGAGGGGAUAUGCUACGCCUGGCGUGGCAGCCUGCAUACCUUCGGGGAAAGCGGGGACCUUCCCGGGCUCGCACUAUUAGAGCGGCCGAUAUCGGAUUAGCCUGGUUGGUGGGGUAACGGCUCACUAAGGCGACGAUCCGUAGCUGGUUUGAGAGGACGACCAGCCACACUGGGACUGAGACACGGCCCAGACUCCUGCAGGAGGCAGCAGUGGGGUACGGGCAAUGGAAACCUGAGUCAAUAUCGCAUUACGAUGAAGGCCUUCGGGUUGUAAAGCACUUUUGCAGGAAAGAAACGGCACGGGAUAAUACCCCAGUGCGGCCUUUGAUGACAUUACCCUGCAAGUCAGCACCGGCUAACUGCGUGCCAGCAGCACUACGGUAAUACGUAGGGUGCAAAGCGUUAAUCGGAGUGCCUGAGCGUAAAGCGUCGCGAGCGGUUCCGGAAAAGAAAGACGUGAAAUCCAGAGCUUAACUUUGGAACUGCAUUUUUAACUUCAGCUAGAGUGUCAGAGAGGUAAAUUCCGCGUGUAUGAAGUGAAAAUGCACUGUGAUAUGCGGAGGGACCUGUGGCGAAGGCAGCCUCCUGGGAUAACGCUGACGCUCAUGCACGAAAGCGUGGGAGCAAACGGAAUUAGAUACCCUGGUAGUCCACGCCCUAAACGAUGUCAACUAUUUCUUGGGGCCUUCGGGGCAGCGGUAGCGCAGCUAACGCGUGAAGUUGACCGCCAGGAGGAUACGGUCGCAAGAUUAAAACUCAAAGGUCUGACGGGGACCCACCUGGACGGUGGAUGAUGUGAUUAAUUCGGUAGCGCGAAAAACCUUACCUACCCAUGACAUGUCUGGAAUAUCGAAGAGAUUUGGGAGGUGCUCCCUGCAAGAGAACCGGAACACAGGUGCUGCAUGGCUGUCGUCAGCUCGUGUCGUGAGAUGUUGGGUUAAGUCCGCAACGAGCGCAACCCUUGUCGUGGAUUGCUACGAAGGGCACUCUAAUGAGACUGCCGGUGACAAACCGGAGGAAGGUGGGGAUGACGUCAGGUCUCUGGCCCACAUGGGUAGGGCUUCACGUCAUACAAUGGUCGGGACAGAGGGUCGCCAACCCGCGAGGGGAGCCAAUCCCAGAAACCCGAUCAUGUAGUCUGAAGGUCGUCUGCAACUCGACUGCGUGAAGUCGAAUCGCUGGUAAUCGCGGAUCAGCAUGUCGCGGUGAAUACGUUCAAGGUCUUGUACACACCGCCCGUCACACCAUGGGGUGGGUUUUACCGAAGUAGUUAGCCUAACCGUAAGGAGGGCACGAUCACCACGGUAGGAUUCAUGACUGGGACGAAGUCGUAACAAGGUAG